rnacentral:rRNA from 1 species
CGAAGGGUGCAAGCGUUACUCGGAAUUACUGGGCGUAAAGCGUGCGUAGGUGGUGCGUUAAGUCUGUCGUGAAAGCCCCGGGCUCAACCUGGGAAUGGCGAUGGAUACUGGCGCGCUAGAGUGCGGUUAGAGGAGAGUGGAAUUCCCGGUGUAGCAGUGAAAUGCGUAGAGAUCGGGAGGAACAUCAGUUGCGAAGGCGGCUCUCUGGACCAGCACUGACACUGAGGCACGAAAGCGUGGGGAGCAAACAGGAUUAGAUACCCUGGUAGUCCACGCCCUAAACGAUGCGAACUGGACGUUGGGAGCAAUUAGGCUCUCAGUGUCGAAGCUAACGCGUUAAGUUCGCCGCCUGGGGAGUACGGUCGCAAGACUG